UACGUAGGGUCCGAGCGUUGUCCGGAAUUAUUGGGCGUAAAGAGCGCGCAGGCGGUAUGACAAGUCAGAUGUGAAAGAGGCCGGCUUAACCGGCAAGGGUCAUUUGAAACUGUCAGACUAGAGUGCAGCAGAGGAUAGUGGAAUUCCCGGUGUAGUGGUGAAAUGCGUAGAUAUCGGGAGGAACACCAGUGGCGAAGGCGACUAUCUGGGCUGCAACUGACGCUGAGGCGCGAAGGCUAGGGUAGCAAACAGG
rnacentral:rRNA from 1 species